rnacentral:lncRNA from 1 species
AGAUCAAUGUUCAAUGCGUUCACUUUCUUGUAUGUUUGUCCAACUGUAAAGUUGGUCCAAGUUAGUCUCUGUUUCAUUACUGUAUCAUGGGACUUUUAAAAAUUUCUUGACUUCUCCUUGAUUACACAUUUUCAAAGAUUCUAUAGCCUUUUUAUAUUCAAAAAAAAAAGGUAACCAUAAUCACACAUUUGGAAAGCUCUGGAAUUGUUUGCUUGUCUCUGGUCCUUAUUACUAAGAAUCUUGAUAAUGCUGUGCUGCCACUGAAAAAUCACAAUAUGCUAUAACUAUUCCCAUUGUGAGCUAGUAAAUUACCAAUUAUUUUCCCUUAAUCCAGAACAGGAUUUUGUUAUUAUCUGUCAAUCACUUUAAGUAAGAAUAGAGAUUACAUAUCAAGAUUAUCUACUAGCUGAAAUACUUGGUAAAAGAGCACAAGAUAGUAAGAAUGAGAUCACUUGUAUGUGCCUAGUUUGUGAUGAGGGAGGGAAUGGGGUUGGCAAAAGAAUAACAAAAAUAGCUUUGCUCUUUGUCUUUCAGUUAAUGGAUCCCAGCCAGAUGAACUUUUCAGGUACCUGUGGAGAGAUUCAAGUGCAAUCGCUGAUUUUCUGGCAAAGAGAGAAAUCACACCUCAAAAUAGACAAAACAAAGUUUAUCACUCUAAAUAUACGACAGAAAACAACUGAAGAAUUUUGGAAUAACAUCUCAUACCUCACCCUUUUAUGGUGUUUUCAUGGGGCCUGCCUAGCACACAAGUCAAAAAUGGAUGCUGCUUUCUCACUAAGGUGUGGUUGGCCAUGCCCCUACCUCAUGUAGCCAGAAGCCAUCUUAGAGAAGAGGACUCAGGACAUCAAGUAUUUACCUCAAGGUACUGUUUUGACUAUUGCUCCAAGCCAAAUUAAUCGAUUGGACUGAAAUAUCGUUUUUCCCUGCGACCCAUCAGAUAGAGUGUCAUGAAUGAUUGGAUUAUAGAUUUGAUUGUAUUUCUCAAUUA